ACGGGGUGCAGCAGGCGCGAAAACUUCACACUGGGGGGAACCCCGAUGAGGGAAAUCCUAGUGCUAGGACAUUUGUUCUAGCUUUUCUCAAGCGUAGAUAACUUGAGGAAUAAGGGCUGGGUAAGACGGGUGCCAGCCGCCGCGGUAAUACCCGCAGCCCAAGUGGUGGUCGAUUUUAUUGAGUCUAAAACGUUCGUAGCCGGUUUGGUAAAUCUUUGGGUAAAUCGGGAGGCUCAACUUUCCGACUUCCGAAGAGACUGCCAAACUUGGGACCGGGAGAGGCUAGAGGUACUUCUGGGGUAGGGGUAAAAUCCUGUAAUCCUAGAAGGACCACCGGUGGCGAAGGCGUCUAGCUAGAACGGAUCCGACGGUGAGGGACGAAGCCCUGGGUCGCAAACGGGAUUAGAUACCCCGGUAGUCCAGGGUGUAAACGCUGCCGACUUGGUGUUGGAGGCCCUUUCGGGGGCAUUCAGUGCCGGAGAGAAGUCGUUAAGUCGGCUACUUGGGGGAGUACGUUCCGCAAAGGAUGAAACUUUAAAGGAAUUGGCGGGGGGGAGCAC
rnacentral:rRNA from 1 species